rnacentral:rRNA from 1 species
AGUGAACGCUGGCGGUAGGCCUAACACAUGCAAGUCGAACGGCAGCACAGUAAGAGCUUGCUCUUACGGGUGGCGAGUGGCGGACGGGUGAGGAAUACAUCGGAAUCUACUUUUUCGUGGGGGAUAACGUAGGGAAACUUACGCUAAUACCGCAUGCGACCUACGGGUGAAAGCAGGGGAUCUUCUGACCUUGCGCGAUUGAAUGAGCCGAUGUCGGAUUAGCUAGUUGGCGGGGUAAAGGCCCACCAAGGCGACGAUCCGUAGCCGGUCUGAGAGGAUGAUCAGCCACACGGGAACUGAGACACGGUCCAGACUCCUACGGGAGGCAGCAGUGUGGUAUAUUGGACAAUGGGCGCAAGCCUGAUCCAGCGAUACCGCGUGGGUGAAGAAGGCCUUCGGGUUGUAAAGCCCUUUUGUUGGGAAAGAAAAGCAGCAGGUUAAUACCCCGCUGUUCUGACGGUACCCAAAGAAUAAGCACCGGCUAACUUCGUG